rnacentral:rRNA from 1 species
AUAACCUUUAAUGGAUCUUGGCUAAUCUUAGUUAAGCCAGGUUGCCUAGAUUAGUAGUUGGAAAGGAGACUACCUAGGAAUUCCAGAUUAGGAAAUU